rnacentral:rRNA from 1 species
UAGUCACGCUGUAAACGAUGUCGAUUGGAGUUUGGGGGCAUGACCCUUGGGCUCGGAGCUAACGCGUUAAAUCGACCGCUGGGGAGUACGGCCGCAAGGUUAAAACUCAAAUGAAUUGACGGGGGCCCGCACAAGCGGUGGAGCAUGUGGUUUAAUUCGAUGCAACGCGAAGAACCUUACCUGGUCUUGACAUCCAUAGAAUCUUUCAGAGAUGAGAGAGUGCCUUCGGGAGCUAUGAGACAGGUGCUGCAUGGCUGUCGUCAGCUCGUGUUGUGAAAUGUUGGGUUAAGUCCCGCAACGAGCGCAACCCCUAUCCUUUGUUGCCAGCACGUAAUGGUGGGAACUCAAAGGAGACUGCCGUUGAUAAAGCGGAGGAAGGUGGGGACGACGUCAAGUCAUCAUGGCCCUUACGACCAGGGCUACACACGUGCUACAAUGGCGUAUACAAAGGGAUGCGAAGGUGCGAACUGGAGCGGACCUCACAAAGUACGUCUAAGUCCGGAUUGGAGUCUGCAACUCGACUCCAUGAAGUCGGAAUCGCUAGUAAUCGUGAAUCAGAAUGUCACGGUGAAUACGUUCCCGGGCCUUGUACACACCGCCCGUCACACCAUGGGAGUGGGUUGCACCAGAAGUAGAUAGCUUAACCUUCGGGAGGGCGUUUACCACGGUGUGGUUCAUGACUGGGGUGAAGUCGUAACAAGGUAACCA